GGUAAGUGGCACCCGAUGGUUUAGUUACGGUGUCUGAUACUCUAAUUCUUCACAUUCUCAGAUGAUGUUGAUCGCUGAUCUUUCAAUCAUGUUGUGUUUGUGCUGCUAGUAGCAUCCAGAAUCUAAGUCUGUGAAUGUGAACUGACUAUAUGGGUUUUGUUAACCCUGUGUCUUCAUAUCCUUCAUAUAAAUCAUAUUUGGUGACUUUUGAUACUACAUGUUAUGGAAUACAGUAGUUCUAUAGUUGAAAAGGAAACAGAGAAGACGGACUGUAAAAUAGACAUAUUGUUGAUGCAGCAUAAGAAGAUGGAACUUAGGAAUUAUGUUCACUGUAGAAUUAGGAAGUUAGAGUUCAAUUACUUGGGAAUUCUAUUAGGUUUUUAUUAUUUUCCUAGUUUAAGUUU
rnacentral:misc_RNA from 1 species